rnacentral:rRNA from 1 species
GACGAACGCUGGCGGCGUGCCUAAUACAUGCAAGUAGAACGCUGAAGGAGGAGCUUGCUUCUCUGGAUGAGUUGCGAACGGGUGAGUAACGCGUAGGUAACCUGCCUGGUAGCGGGGGAUAACUAUUGGAAACGAUAGCUAAUACCGCAUAAGAGUAGAUGUUGCAUGACAUUUGCUUAAAAGGUGCAAUUGCAUCACUACCAGAUGGACCUGCGUUGUAUUAGCUAGUUGGUGGGGUAACGGCUCACCAAGGCGACGAUACAUAGCCGACCUGAGAGGGUGAGCGGCCACACUGAGACUGAGACACGGCCCAGACUCCUACGGGAGGCAGCAGUAGGGAAUCUUCGGCAAUAGACGGAAGUCUGACCGAGCAACGCCGCGGGAGUGAAGAAGGUUUUCGGAUCGUAAAGCUCUGUUGUAAGAGAAGAACGAGUGUGAGAGUGGAAAGUUCACACUGUGACGGUAUCUUACCAGAAAGGGACGGCUAACUACGUG